UAUCUGUCUACAGUUUAUCACACUUAUUUAUUGUAAUUAACCUCUUAACAUGCCCAUAUGAUAUUUAAUAUCUGGCUGUGUUUAUGAAUAGUUAUAGGUUCAAUAUAGACACCCAAUAUACCCACUAAACAUUAGACGUCUUAUGGACGUGCAGAUCAUGUCUAUAUUGCGUCGGUCGGUCCAAGACCAAUUCUGUACGUCUACACGACGUGCAAACUAGGUCCACUAUUUGGACGUCUAACUAUGACCCCACUUGGACGUCAAUAUGCAGUUAAACAUUUGAACGUCGGACUAGGUCACUUUUUUGGACGUCAUGGGGACGUCUAAUACAGGUGCAGGAAAUUAACGUUAUUUAAGAAUAUAUUUAUUUUUAAAUGUAUGUCAACAUUGUUGUUAUCAAUAUUGUUAAUCACUAUGAAUAUAGAUUAUUUAUGAUUAAGCAUCAUUUAUUUCUAAAUAUUUAUUUCAGUAUUAUAUUUUUGAUCUAUUUAAUUAAUUAAUGAAUGUAGGUAUUUAUUUACGUAUGUUUUUAUUUUUAUUUGGAAAUGCAAUUUAUGUGGAAAAUUGUUAAGUUGAUUUCAACCAGUCAAUGCCACUCUGAUUUGCUGAGACCGCACGUCAUCAUAAACUCCACUCUUGCUGAGGCAAAAACCCGCUGAACAUUUUUUGGCUGCUGCAGUAGCUCAGUUCAGCUCGCUCAGCUCAGCUCCGGACUGGACUCAGCUGCCACUAUGCUAUAAGGUAAGACGAUAUGUAUAAGUUAGUGUAUUUGUAGUGUUAGUUGUUUUAGCUCUGUGGUCUUAAAUCAUCUGAACCUGCUGACGUUGCCUCUCUUCCCAGGCAGUUAGCUAACUAGCUAGCUAGCUAACGAUAGCUAAACAGUAGCUUAAAAUGGAAUUGGAAUUACUUUUGAGAACGACCGUAUUGCCAAUAAUAUUUACUGUAACCGAAGCUUUAACAUAGAAGCAUUGUCCGGUCAUUAAGUCAAUGCACUAACCAGAGCUAGGCUGAUAAGCCAAUCUAAGCUAAAUCAAAGAACCGUCUUUGGCUAAAUUCGCUAAGCUAGCCUUAAGUUAUAUAAGUUUGUGGCGCCCACAAUUAACCUAGGCAACUGGGGGCAAUAUCAAGUGCAUUCUGAAUAGCGUGAAGAAGUAAGUUUAUGUUAAUAUUACAUAAAUAAGGCAAUUUAAAUAGUUUGUUGUGGGAAGAAAAUUAUUAAAAUAGCUUAAUAUGAUGUGUGAGAAUUAAAACGGCAGGAUAAUUCUCGUCAGGUGUUAAAUGUGUAUUCCCACCGUUAGCUUAGCGUUAGCUAAGCCAUAGUGUGAAGAAGUAAGUUUAUGUUAAUAUUACAUAAAUAAGGCAAUUUAAAAUAGUUUGUUGUGGGAAGAAAAUUAUUAAAAUAGCUUAAUAUGAUGUGUGAGAAUUAAAACAGCACGAUAAUUCUCGUCAGGUGUUAAUUGUGUAUUCCCGCCUUUAACUUAGCGUUAGCUUAUUGUUAGCUUAGCGUUAGCUAAGCCAUAGCAUGAAGAAGUAAGUUUGUUAAUAUUACAUAAAUAAGGCAAUUUAAAAUAGUUUGUUGUGGGACAAAAAUAAAUUAAAUAGCUUAAUAUGAUGUGUGAGAAUUAAAACGGCAGGAUAAUUCUCGUCAGGUGUUAAAUGUGUAUUCCCGCCGUUAGCUUAGCGUUAGCUAGCUUAGCUGAGAUUUCUAAUUUGUCUUUUUCUACUUGUGCAGAUGGAGUCAUGAAAUGUGACGGGACAGGCACCUAGGACUUCAUACAGAUGUGUACUUCGGAGCAUCUCAAACAUGCACCACAAAGACCUGGAGGACACACCGCUGUCUCUCUGGACCUAGAAUCUUAAUGAAAGUAUAAUGAUGUUAAGGGAAGGUGUAAUGGAAAGGUGUAAUGUAAAGUUGUAAUGGUGUUAAGGGAAGGUGUAGUGGAAAGGUGUGAUAGUGUUGAGGGAAGGUGUACUAGUGUUGAGGGAAGGGGUAAUGUUAAAUGUGUAAUAGUGUUAAGAGAAGGUAUAAUAUUGUUAAGGGAAGGUGUAAUGUAAAGGUGUAAUAGUUUUGAGGGAAGGUGUAAUAUUGUUAAGGGAAGGUGUAAUGUUAAAGGUGUAAUAGUUUUGAGGGAAGGUGUAAUAUUGUUAAGGGAAGGUGUAGUGGAAAGGUGUAAUAGUGUUAAGGGAAGGUAUAAUAUUGUUAAGGGAAGGUGUAAUGUUAAAGGUGUAAUAGUGUUGAUGGAAGGUGUAAUAGUGUUGAGGGAAGGUAUAAUAUUGUUAAGGGAAGGUGUAAUGUAAAGCUGUAAUAGUUUUAAGGGAAGGUAAAUGUUUAGUGAAAUUGUUAUGGUGUGAAUCUAAGGUGUAUGUUAUGUUGAUGUAAAAUAAAGGCAUUAACCCCAAA